GUGGAUGGACCGAGGCAACUCGGAUUAUCUAAAGCUGGGGACCGCAAGGCCUGGCGCUUUACGAUGAGCCUGCGGCCUAUCAGCUAGUUGGUGGGGUAACGGCUCACCAAGGCGAUGACGGGUAGCUGGUCUGAGAGGACGACCAGCCACACUGGAACUGAGACACGGUCCAGACACCUACGGGUGGCAGCAGUCGAGAAUCUUUCACAAUGGGGGAAACCCUGAUGGAGCGACGCCGCGUGGGGGAUGACGGGCUUCGGCUUGUAAACCCCUGUCAUUUGUGAGCAAAGCCGCUGGGUGAAUAGCCUGGCGGACUGAUAGUAGCGAAAGAGGAAGGGACGGCUAACUCUGUGCCAGCAGCCGCGGUAAUACAGAGGUCCCGAGCGUUGUUCGGAUUCACUGGGCGUAAAGGGUGCGUAGGUGGCAGGGUAAGUCCGAUGUAAAAUCUUCGAGCCCAACUCGAAAAGGUCAUUGGAAACUACCAAGCUAGAGGAUUGGAGAGGGGACUGGAAUUCUCGGUGUAGCAGUGAAAUGCGUAGAUAUCGAGAGGAACACCAGUGGCGAAGGCGAGUCCCUGGACAACUCCUGACACUGAGGCACGAAAGCUAGGGGAGCAAACAGGAUUAGAUACCCUGGUAGUCCUAGCCCUAAACGGUGCACAUUUGCUGUGGGGGGAAUCGACCCCUUCCGUGGCGUAGCUAACGCGUUAAAUGUGCCGCCUGGGGAGUACGGCCGCAAGGCUAAAACUCAAAGAAAUUACGGGGGCCUGCACAAGCGGUGAGUAUGUGGCUUAAUUCGAUCAACGCGAAGAACCUUACCUGGCCUUGACAUGUAGGUGGUAAAAGCCUGAAAGGGUAAUGACCCCGCAAGGGGAGCCUGCACAGGUGCUGCAUGGCUGUCGUCAGCUCGUGUCGUGAGAUUUGGGUUAAGUCCCGCAACGAGCGCAACCCUUGUGUUCUGUUGCCACCCGAACGAGAGUUCGGAGCACUCUGAACAGACCGCCCCGCUUAAACGGGGAGGAAGGUGGGGAUGACGUCAAGUCAGUAUGGCCCUUACGGCCAGGGCUGCACACGUACUACAAUGCCCGCCACAAUGGGAAGCAAUGCCGCAAGGCCGAGCAAAUCCCUAAAAGCGGGCCCAGUUCAGAUUGUCGUCUGCAACUCGACGGCAUGAAGCUGGAAUCGCUAGUAAUGGCGCAUCAGCUACGGCGCCGUGAAUACGUUCCCAGGC
rnacentral:rRNA from 1 species